UACAGAGGGGGCAAGCGUUGUUCGGAAUUACUGGGCGUAAAGGGCGCGUAGGCGGUCAGCACAAGUCAGUUGUGAAAUCUCCGAGCUUAACUCGGAAAGGUCAACUGAUACUGUGCGACUAGAGUGCAGAAGGGGCAACUGGAAUUCUCGGUGUAGCGGUGAAAUGCGUAGAUAUCGAGAGGAACACCUGCGGCGAAGGCGGGUUGCUGGGCUGACACUGACGCUGAGGCGCGAAAGCUAGGGGAGCGAACGGG
rnacentral:rRNA from 1 species